rnacentral:rRNA from 1 species
CGUAGGGUGCAAGCGUUAAUCGGAAUUACUGGGCGUAAAGCGUGCGCAGGCGGUUAUAUAAGACAGAUGUGAAAUCCCCGGGCUCAACCUGGGAACUGCAUUUGUGACUGUAUAGCUAGAGUACGGUAGAGGGGGAUGGAAUUCCGCGUGUAGCAGUGAAAUGCGUAGAUAUGCGGAGGAACACCGAUGGCGAAGGCAAUCCCCUGGACCUGUACUGACGCUCAUGCACGAAAGCGUGGGGAGCAAACAGGAUUAGAUACCCUGGUAGUCCACGCCCUAAACGAUGUCAACUGGUUGUUGGGUCUUCACUGACUCAGUAACGAAGCUAACGCGUGAAGUUGACCGCCUGGGGAGUACGGCCGCAAGGUUG